GCACGCAUAGCUCAGUUGGUAGAGCCCUCCGCUUAUAUCGGAGUGGUCCCAGGUUCGAGUCCUGGUGCGUGCA
rnacentral:tRNA from 1 species